GCGGAUGUAGUGCGCGGUGCACCGCUGCAUUUCAUUAGAGGUUGGCAAGAAAAUUGAAGCGGCUGCUGGGGUUCGACUCCCCGCGUCCGCA